UACGGGGGGGGCAAGCGUUGUUCGGAAUUACUGGGCGUAAAGGGCUCGUAGGUGGCCAACUAAGUCAGACGUGAAAUCCCUCGGCUUAACCGGGGAACUGCGUCUGAUACUGGAUGGCUUGAGUGCAGGAGAGGAACGCGGAAUUCCAGGUGUAGCGGUGAAAUGCGUAGAUAUCUGGAGGAACACCGGUGGCGAAGGCGGCGUUCUGGACUGCAACUGACACUGAGGAACGAAAGCCAGGGGAGCAAACGGG
rnacentral:rRNA from 1 species